ACCAGACUCCUACGGGAGGCAGCAGUGGGGGAUAUUGCACAAUGGGGGGAACCCUGAUGCAGCGACGCCGCGUGGGUGAAGAAGCGCCUCGGCGCGUAAAGCCCUGUCAGCAGGGAAGAAAAUGACGGUACCUGAAGAAGAAGCCCCGGCUAACUACGUGCCAGCAGCCGCGGUAAUACGUAGGGGGCAAGCGUUAUCCGGAUUUACUGGGUGUAAAGGGGGCGCAGACGGCGAUGCAAGCCAGGAGUGAAAGCCCGGGGCCCAACCCCGGGACUGCUCUUGGAACUGCGUGGCUGGAGUGCAGGAGGGGCAGGCGGAAUUCCUGGUGUAGCGGUGAAAUGCGUAGAUAUCAGGAGGAACACCGGUGGCGAAGGCGGCCUGCUGGACUGCAACUGACGGUGAGGCGCGAAAGCGUGGGGAGCAAACAGGAUUAGAUACCCCUGUAGUC
rnacentral:rRNA from 1 species